UAUAAAAUAAAUAAAUAUAAUUAUAUAUAUAUAUAUAUAUAUAUAUAUAUUUAAGAACAAAAAAAUAUAUAUAUAUAUAGAUGUGUAUGGCUGCAUGUUUUACAAUGCGCUGCAUUAUCGUGAGCGGCAUGCACCGGUUACCAUCUCUUUCUUUUCCCCCAUAAAACAUUGGCAUUCCUGGAUACCAGCGACCGAGAAUUCUUCAUCGAUUAUCCAAAUGACUCGUCCGAUGGUACUUUUUAUACUUUAUUUAUACAUAUACGUGUAGUUUAAUAAAUCAAUCGAUAUUCCGCUGCCACCGCGUCGUGCUCGCGCCCACGACACCACCAGGACGCAGCUUUUCGUUCGACGGAAACACCCGGAUACCACCACCCUGUCCCCCGGUCUCUCAUUCACUUUCUUCAGGUAUUUCGUUAGUUCUCCGCUCAUCAUCCGUUCAACCGAUACGUUUACGAUCAAUGAAAUCCGCGCGUCCCUUUCAGGAAUGUCAGGCAAAAACCAAUGCGCACACAUACAUACCACUUUGUAAUAUACUGUAAUAUUAAAGGUUUAUACGAUGUAGCCGCAGGUAACAUAACCGAUAGUCUAAAUAUUAUUUCCAGAUUAUAUAUUAAAUAUACAUAUGUGUAUAUUAUAUAUACAUAUAUACAUAUAUACAUUGCAUACAUUAUAUAUUAUAUAUAAUAUACAUAAUAUUAUAUUCUUUUUAUGUCAGUCAUUUGUGAAACCUUUUAUCACCCGUAGGUGUUAAAACCUAGACUCUGGCCUGUAAACGAAAGCCAAAUUUGCUACCCCCUCUCAGUCUCUUCGUUUUCGUCGUUUCGUUCCCACGAAUGAAUUUACAGUGUUAAGAGAAUUUUACGUUGUUAUCGAUCCAUCCGGUGUGGACGUUUUUGGCAUAGGCUCCGGAUUGCGAGAAUGGCGACGGUACGCUUUGACUUAAAGACGGCCCACACUCGUAAACGCAUUUAAAUGCCGAUUAUCUUUCUCCCCGGUGGAGCCACGGCGUUCCGACCUGUGCAGGUUCGAUUGCGAUUCACUGAGAUCCACCACGAAACGGGAUUACCAUUCAUCGAGACAUGACGUUUCUAUUGUUCAGCUGAAUCUUUCCGGUCAACAGCAUCAUCAACGGAAUCGGCCUGCGACCGGUUUCCGAUCACAGUCACGCUCGGCGAGCUUAGCGACCGAAGAAAGAGAAUGGACGAACAACACACGCGUAGCAAUCAGCAAUUAUCCUGUCACAAUAAUUCUGUAUUGUUACAACGCUUCCGAGUCAAUCGAUUAGCCAUUGUUAUUGCCAAGGUCUGCCAAGGUAUCUCAACGAUACCUUAUAUGGACACUGACCAAAAUCGUUUCUUUAUGUUUGUUUUUUUCCAUUCGUAUUCUGGGGUACGAGAACAAGAAUCUUUAAGGUAUUUAGAAACGUAGCUGUAGCCCGUAGUGAUCUUCGCAAAGAUUUCCCUUCCAGAGCAGUCCGAUGCACCCCCACCCCACUGAAUGUCCGUAUUAUUCUCUCAUUUCUCUCUCUCUCUCUCUCUCUCUCUCUCUCUCUCUUUCUUUCUUUCUCUCUCUUUCUCUCUCUGUAACUUUUACUUUUCUCUUCUCUCUUAUUUCCCGACAAGUCGCAGAUUUAGUUGUAUCGUUGAUAUCGCGUGAUCGUUUCACGAGUCGAAAUUACAAAAGGCGAGACGUCGUUUCGAGGGUCAACGGAAAUAUCGCGUCGCGCACGAAAACGGAAACAGCGCAUGCCAUAUAAAAUCGGUGCAUCCGGCUGGGCAUCCCGUUCCUUCGGAAGCGAGACCAAACGGCGAACGAAAGUAAGAGGAAUUUUUCUAUUUUACGACCAGAUCAAUGCGGGGGGCUUGGUAACGCUUCGCGAGUUCGGGGAUGUCGGAUCAAUGACGAUAAUAAAACCCGGUACCUUAAGAUACACCGAUAGUCACUUAAAUGUUACACGCUCGUAGAUAUUUAUUAAUAUUUUUUUAAGUAGAUCAUUUUAGUCCGUAGAAUUAAGUAUCUCCGCAUCAUUCUAACGAAAUGUAUAUAAAUACACAUAUAUUUACAUUGAUAACAUGAUUAUUUCAGUAUUGUACUGUGUCUAACACCGAUGUAUUUUAUUACUUGCUAAAUAUACUGUAUUGGGUGCCUUUUGUAGCGAAUUUCAAACCUUUAAGUUUUCUGUCACGCGUCGCCCCGUUUCCUUCUCUAUCGUAUACGUGCCGUGGAAUUAUAACGGUUCAACGAGAAUCAUUCGUCUAAAACUAAUUAAGCAAAUGGUUUUAUUGCAUUCAACGGUGUACAAUGAAAUUCGCGGGACAUUGUUUCGAAAAGUCGAUCGAAUCGAGCGCGCUCGAACGAUCGAUAUUAACGGUGUCGAUCGUGACUUCCGGUAGAUGGUACGCUCUAGUGUCUCUGGUGUGUUGCUAAUUGAUCAUUUUGUGCUUGUUUAUUAAACUAAACGUUUGAUUUGCGAAUGUUCUGUUUGUAGACCUUUCAAUUUUCGGUUCUUGUGUGACGAUCAUAUAUAAUAUUUCGCGAAAGUAGGUUGGAAGUGUAGAAAAAUUUGUUUUCCGCCGGUGAACAUCAGUUUCGCAAAGAAGUACAUACAAACCGUUUUCGCGAAGCUCCAGGAGUCCCGCAAAAAGAAGGAUAAGAAGACUCAACGAAAACAUCCCCAUUUCCCCCAAACCGAUCGGCGCAGCGUUUUCCAAGGGGCGUUUAGUCUAACCCCGUGACGUUCCCACGGCGAGAGGGGCCGAUGAAAAAGCGAACCUGGCACUCUCGUCCCAGUGGUCAGACUCGAAGGCGCUCACGCCCACUAAUCGGGUCGCGGGACAAAGAGCACGAAGUGUCUUUUGGGGACUCACAAUUGGAUUUCCCGGAGCGACUUAUCCGCCGC